rnacentral:rRNA from 1 species
AGUGAACGCUGGCGGCAUGCCUAACACGUGCAAGUCGAACGGUAACAGGCCCGCAAGGGUGCUGACGAGUGGCGGACGGGUGAGGAAUACAUCGGAAUUUGCCCAGUCGUGGGGGAUAACGUAGGGAAACUUAACGCUAAUACCGCAUACGACCUAACGGUGAAAGCGGGGACCGUGCAAGGGCCUCGCGCGGAUGGAUAAGCCGAUGUCGGAUUAGCUAGUUGGCGGGGUAAGAGCCACCAAGGCGACGAUCCGUAGCUGGUCUGAGAGGAUGAUCAGCCACACUGGGACUGAGACACGGCCCAGACUCCUACGGGAGGCAGCAGUGGGGAAUAUUGGACAAUGGGGCAACCUGAUCCAGCAAUGCCGCGUGUGUGAAGAAGGCCU